AUUCCAUACAAGGAGACCAUGGUCACUGCCCUCAGCUUCUACCUCAAAAUCUCAUUCCCAAGAGGGCUUUAGAGACCUUGUUCCUCCUUUGUCCCUCUAUCCUCUGGAUUAGACUCAGUGAACCCAAUACUGACUGAACAAGGACGGCACACUGACAGGACCAGAGACGGACCCAACAGGAAAGCCAGUACUUGUUCAAAGUAACAUGGGAAUGGAGUUUGGGAGUCAGGCUAUCAUCUAUGGAUUCCCAGCCCCCACUCAUACCAGGGGUCCCUGGAGGCCCAUCUGACCUAUGCAGCCUGCUUCUUACAUGUACCUGUUAUCACAGGGCCCCUGGAAUGCUGGACUUGUUCAGAGGGACUCUUCUGUUGCUGAGAGAGAAACCACCCUCAGGAAGGUUAAUGGAGGCAUACCAUCACAGCCAGAAGAUAGCCACCCUUGCAUGGUCACUGUGUUUUGUGUCCAAGAGGGUGUGAUGGUGGUUGACCUGUGACAGUGGCUUCUAUUCUCAAGACUCUACUACAGACAUACUACCAGAACAUGCCACCCUCAAUUACCCAGGGACCUAGCAUUCUGUCACUGAGAUAAGGGCAUACUAUAUUGUCCUCUGGAUAAGAACCAUAGGGGGCUUGGAGGGUGGAACCCUUAGGAUCCACUUGUACCUCUUGUCUUAGGGAAGAGGCAAGGGAUGGGCUCAGAUGAAGGCAAGUUCAACAUCCCGUAAGUGGGGGAAGCCUGAGCUAUGCCUACAGGGAGCUGGUGAGGGACUCUUUGGGAGGCUACUUUCCUCUGCCAGUCCACAGGCCAGGCAGUAUCCCGUGACCUCCAUCUCAGGCUCUGUGGUUAGCUUUCAGGCCCCAGAUUCAUGGUUGCUCAUCUCCCAAGAAAAUGGGUCUCCCCAUUUCUUUCAGGGAAACCAAGUUACCAGUGAUCCAUGGCUACUAGGAGACAGAAUUAGGGCUUGACUGCACAUAGCCUUAGGCCUGGCCUUGUUGGUAGACAUGGCCACCAAAACCAACACUACCACAGUCUGGCUGGAAUCUUCGUCAUCUGUCCAACUUGGGCCCUUGAAACCAUGAUCACUACCGGCUAGUGUCUUUCAUGGCAAUCCCUAUCAGGCACCCAACCACUCCCUAUCUGGCUGCCCAAAACCCUACUUUUCUCUUGGGCCUUGACAUAACUGGCCCCACAGACAAGCUGCCAUGUCCAUACCUUGACUCUACUUCAGUGAGCCUCUGUGAGCCUUGUAAGCAAGGAGGAAGGCAAUGAGGACUGCUAGGUAGAAGGGUCUGGGGAGUGUAGAGAGAGCUUGGAGGAGGGGCAGGCACCAGGAGUCAGAAAGCUGAGCGGAGGACUUCAUCUGCCACCCCUUCGCAGAAACCCAACCACACUCUGACGGGGUUGAUCCUAUCUUGAAUUCCUAACUCCCAGAGCCCUUUGCUGUGUACUUUUAAAAGCUGUUGUGUUGGUGGGAGUAUGUUACAGUUGCCAUUGAAAACUAGAGUCUUUUCUUUUUUAAAAUAAAGUAAACACCAGCUUCAC
rnacentral:lncRNA from 1 species